AGGGCAUUAUAGGAGAGGAGUGAAUCCCAAGGCCAGAUCUCCAGCUCAAGGUGAACAGGCUCAAGCACUAAUGUGAAUGUGAGUAAAUGUCCCCAGGGAGUGCAUGUGGUGGUUGUGAGUCAGUCUGAGGUGGUUCUAGGUUUGUCUGCCCACUAAGAGUGUGCAAGAAUAAGCAUGAUUUAUUUCCACUGUAUGGUCAUACGGUAGAAAGAGCCCAGGACUUGGGUGUCUGAAGCAGAAAAUCCAAAUGGUUCCUUCACCCCAUGAUUGUGAAAAUAGUAAAAUAAAUAACUGACAACAUAUUGGUAUUUAUCUAUGUGCCAGAAUGUGCUGACUGCCUUGUCCUACGGGUGAAAGUUAGAAGCAGACCUUGUAGCGAUGAAGCAUAAAACUGACCAUGAAUGAUGACUGAAAUUUCUCAUGCAAAUCUCUGCAUUUGAUUGAAUAUGGGCAUUAGUGGAAUAGUCCAUUUGAUCUUUUAGCCAUUAGUGUAGGAGUAAUUUGUAUUUAUGUCACUCUUUAGAAGGAAAGUAGUCUUUCAAGUCUUCAAUGGCAGACUAGACCACAUCUAUUCAAUUUGAUGUAUUAAGUUCACCCAGUAGCUGGAAACAGUUCUGAUCAAAGGUGGGCUGUUUUUAUUCAACAUCCUUUAGCUCUGCCAAACUAUGCCCUGCGUCUGUGUGCCUGUGCAACUGUCUGGGUAUGUCUGCUACAAGACAAUCUCUCAUUACCUUUGCUAAGCUGGAUACCUGCAUCUAGGUGCAUCCCCAAGGUGGGUGGUGGGAGGGGGGGAAAUAUACAUGGAUAAAACCCUGAUUCAUUCUGGAGGUACAGGGGACAGAGUGCCCUAUUCUCUUGCAAAUGGUAGGGGUGAUUGAGGCCUUGGAAGGGGAGGGGAGAGUAGACAGCAGGUGCUUGAGGGGGGCUCCUACCUUUCAGCACUGCUUUUCCCCAAUGCUGGAUUAAAUUGGGAGCAAGGGUGAGACAUGGAGGAAAGACGGGUGAUUUCAGACUCAGGUUGGGUGUGGGCGGGGGGAGUGGACGUGUGGUUUUGCCCCAUGUUGGUGGGGGUGUGGCUUAUUGGGGGGGAAGGUUGGUUAUGUUUGGCAGAGGAUGGUGCCAAAAGAGGGGAAGGAGGGGCGGGCUCAGGGAUGGUGGGGGAGGGACACAGAGCUAUUUUUUCAAGCAGAUGUAAUAUAAUAAUUAUAAUAAUAAAAUUUAGAAAGUGAUGCUAUUUUUUCACAAAUCCCUCUUUUUCCCUCUUCCAGUUGCCACAGCAACAUUUUUAAAAGUCCUGUACUGGAGGCAUAAGGAUUUCCCACGGGGCCAAUCGAGGGAGAGAGGACCACUAAAAAUGUAGGGGGUGAAGGAAGAGUAUUAUUUUGCCAAAAAUAAUAAUAUGUAAGAGAAAGAUUUCUUUUGUGGUUUUCAAAGUGUUCUUCUCCCAAAUGUGAGUGAUCUUUCUUCUGCUCACACUGAGCAAAAAUAUUAAAUCAUGUCAGUUGCUCAAGAGAAACAAAACAAACAAACUUUUAUAAA